rnacentral:rRNA from 1 species
GGUUAAGCGACUAAGCGUACACGGUGGAUGCCCUGGCAGUCAGAGGCGAUGAAGGACGUGCUAAUCUGCGAAAAGCGUCGGUAAGGUGAUAUGAACCGUUAUAACCGGCGAUGUCCGAAUGGGGAAACCCAGUGCAAUUCGUUGCACUAUCGUUAACUGAAUACAUAGGUUAACGAGGCGAACCGGGGGAACUGAAACAUCUAAGUACCCCGAGGAAAAGAAAUCAACCGAGAUUCCCCCAGUAGCGGCGAGCGAACGGGGAGCAGCCCAGAGUCUGAAUCAGCUUGUGUGUUAGUGGAACGGUCUGGAAAGUCCGACGGUACAGGGUGAUAGUCCCGUACACCAAAAUGCACAGGCUGUGAACUCGAAGAGUAGGGCGGGACACGUGGUAUCCUGUCUGAAUAUGGGGGGACCAUCCUCCAAGGCUAAAUACUCCUGACUGACCGAUAGUGAACCAGUACCGUGAGGGAAAGGCGAAAAGAACCCCGGCGAGGGGAGUGAAAAAGAACCUGAAACCGUGUACGUACAAGCAGUGGGAGCACCUUCGGGUGUGACUGCGUACCUUUUGUAUAAUGGGUCAGCGACUUAUAUUCUGUAGCAAGGUUAACCGUAUAGGGGAGCCGCAGGGAAACCGAGUCUUAACUGGGCGUUAAGUUGCAGGGUAUAGACCCGAAACCCGGUGAUCUAGCCAUGGGCAGGUUGAAGGUUGGGUAACACUAACUGGAGGACCGAACCGACUAAUGUUGAAAAAUUAGCGGAUGACUUGUGGCUGGGGGUGAAAGGCCAAUCAAACCGGGAGAUAGCUGGUUCUCCCCGAAAGCUAUUUAGGUAGCGCCUCGUGAACUCAUCUUCGGGGGUAGAGCACUGUUUCGGCUAGGGGGUCAUCCCGACUUACCAACCCGAUGCAAACUACGAAUACCGAAGAAUGUUAUCACGGGAGACACACGGCGGGUGCUAACGUCCGUCGUGAAGAGGGAAACAACCCAGACCGCCAGCUAAGGUCCCAAAGUCAUGGUUAAGUGGGAAACGAUGUGGGAAGGCACAGACAGCCAGGAUGUUGGCUUAGAAGCAGCCAUCAUUUAAAGAAAGCGUAAUAGCUCACUGGUCGAGUCGGCCUGCGCGGAAGAUGUAACGGGGCUAAACCAUGCACCGAAGCUGCGGCAGCGACACUAUGUGUUGUUGGGUAGGGGAGCGUUCUGUAAGCCUGCGAAGGUGACCUGUGAGGGUUGCUGGAGGUAUCAGAAGUGCGAAUGCUGACAUAAGUAACGAUAAAGCGGGUGAAAAGCCCGCUCGCCGGAAGACCAAGGGUUCCUGUCCAACGUUAAUCGGGGCAGGGUGAGUCGACCCCUAAGGCGAGGCCGAAAGGCGUAGUCGAUGGGAAACAGGUUAAUAUUCCUGUACUUGGUGUUACUGCGAAGGGGGGACGGAGAAGGCUAUGUUAGCCGGGCGACGGUUGUCCCGGUUUAAGCAUGUAGGCUGGUUGUCCAGGCAAAUCCGGAUAAUCAAGGCUGAGGUGUGAUGACGAGGCACUACGGUGCUGAAGUAACAAAUGCCCUGCUUCCAGGAAAAGCCUCUAAGCAUCAGGUAACAUCAAAUCGUACCCCAAACCGACACAGGUGGUCAGGUAGAGAAUACCAAGGCGCUUGAGAGAACUCGGGUGAAGGAACUAGGCAAAAUGGUGCCGUAACUUCGGGAGAAGGCACGCUGGUGUGUAGGUGAAGUCCCUGCGGAUGGAGCUGAGACCAGUCGAAGAUACCAGCUGGCUGCAACUGUUUAUUAAAAACACAGCACUGUGCAAACACGAAAGUGGACGUAUACGGUGUGACGCCUGCCCGGUGCCGGAAGGUUAAUUGAUGGGGUUAUCCGUAAGGAGAAGCUCUUGAUCGAAGCCCCGGUAAACGGCGGCCGUAACUAUAACGGUCCUAAGGUAGCGAAAUUCCUUGUCGGGUAAGUUCCGACCUGCACGAAUGGCGUAAUGAUGGCCAGGCUGUCUCCACCCGAGACUCAGUGAAAUUGAACUCGCUGUGAAGAUGCAGUGUACCCGCGGCAAGACGGAAAGACCCCGUGAACCUUUACUAUAGCUUGACACUGAACAUUGAGCCUUGAUGUGUAGGAUAGGUGGGAGGCUUUGAAGCGUGGACGCCAGUCUGCGUGGAGCCAACCUUGAAAUACCACCCUUUAAUGUUUGAUGUUCUAACGUUGGCCCCUGACCGGGGUUGCGGACAGUGUCUGGUGGGUAGUUUGACUGGGGCGGUCUCCUCCCAAAGCGUAACGGAGGAGCACGAAGGUUAGCUAAUCCUGGUCGGACAUCAGGAGGUUAGUGCAAUGGCAUAAGCUAGCUUGACUGCGAGCGUGACGGCGCGAGCAGGUGCGAAAGCAGGUCAUAGUGAUCCGGUGGUUCUGAAUGGAAGGGCCAUCGCUCAACGGAUAAAAGGUACUCCGGGGAUAACAGGCUGAUACCGCCCAAGAGUUCAUAUCGACGGCGGUGUUUGGCACCUCGAUGUCGGCUCAUCACAUCCUGGGGCUGAAGUAGGUCCCAAGGGUAUGGCUGUUCGCCAUUUAAAGUGGUACGCGAGCUGGGUUUAGAACGUCGUGAGACAGUUCGGUCCCUAUCUGCCGUGGGCGCUGGAGAAUUGAGGGGGGCUGCUCCUAGUACGAGAGGACCGGAGUGGACGCAUCACUGGUGUUCGGGUUGUCAUGCCAAUGGCACUGCCCGGUAGCUAAAUGCGGAAGAGAUAAGUGCUGAAAGCAUCUAAGCACGAAACUUGCCCCGAGAUGAGUUCUCCCUGAGACUUUAAGUCUCCUGAAGGAACGUUGAAGACGACGACGUUGAUAGGCCGGGUGUGUAAGCGCAGCGAUGCGUUGAGCUAACCGGUACUAAUGAACCGUGAGGCUUAACCUU